AAAUUUGGUGUAUGCAAUUGGGUAGUAUUUAAAUUAAAAUAAGCCAUCCAUGUAUCAGUCAUAAUGCAUAUAUACACCAAUGACAGGCAAAUUACUGAGGCUUCUGUUUCUUAUAGAGGGAGAUGAAAAAUCAAGUGAGACUGCUAGCAGCAUUUUGGCCUUUCUGGGUCUUGUCAAUGACAUGUACUUACAGCCAGCCAUAUGCCUGGAUGAGAUUUGUCACCUCCAACAUAGGAUACAAAUCUUGUCUAGGUGUGUGGCUGGCAGCAAGCACACAUGAUUAACAAGGCUCCAAGAGGCCAAAAUACACCUAUCAUUCAUGCUAGCUGCUGCUGGGACGAUUUUUCGACGCCUUCCAAUCCAUAUAGUGUGUUUUUAAUUACAGCACAUCUACAAAAACAGACAAAAACUGCAGUAAUUUGCCCGUCACUGGUGUAUUUACAUUAAGCAUGAUACUGGGAUGGGCUAUUUCGUUGAGAUGGCGUAGAUUACAGUCAUGUCGGAAUUUAUCGUGAAAAACCUUUUCAUUACCUGGAAGCUAUCAGAAGAACAGUCAGUUUCAGACUCUCUUUUAGAACCUGUAUAGUUGCAACUGCUCGGUGAUCAAAGUAAAUGGCCACCUGUUGGAACUGUUCCUCAUUGCACACUUAAUUCAUCAACAGUGUUCCAUCUCGCCUUUCCUGUAUGUGUUGCCUCUCGAGCCAUUGGUGAAGAAAUUGCAACAGUUGAGAGGGUCAUGUCAGUUUAUGUGAAUGACAGCACCGUCAUGAUGUCGAAUGCCACUAAAAUAGAGGCGGUCGGCCCCAAUCUAAAGAAAUAUGAGAUGCUACCAGAGGUUAAAAUCAAUCUGGACAAACCAAUAAGUAGCUGCUUGACAUUUGGAAAAGAAAGUUCAUGACGACAGACAUGGUGAUCUAUCUUUCUGUAUCAGAGAAAACUCUUUGCUGCCAGAAAUUCUACCAUAUUGUCUGCAAAACAGUGUCUCAAAGUCACCUUAUACUGGUGAGUCACAUAUUAUGAACACAUAUUUAAAAGGAGGAAGUAUUGUCUGGUGAUACAAAGCAACAGUGAUUAGGUGUUUAUGGUUGAAUCUGCAAGAGCAUAUUAAGAAUGAAUUUGAUUACAUUGAAAGUAAAGUUCAACCACUGGAAAGAAGCGUGUAGCUGUUUUGAAAUAAAAAUGAUUUUGAACUUGA